ACAGUUUAUACACAAGGCUAGUGUUGUGCAAUGCUUGGCAACAAUCCUGUGUCAUCCUCACAUGCAUAGUUCUUAAGAGAGCAAUAUCUUCUUUCUGCUGAUAACACCUGGGCCUACAGUGCUACCCUGUCACAGGCAGACUUGCUGUUACGUUAAGAUACUUGGUUUCUGGUGAUAACCAAACUUCCCUGGCGUUUAGUUUCAGGAUAGGGCAAUCAACGGUAUGUUUCAUCCUACAGGAGACCUGCGAAGAUCUGGUCAUUCUUCAAACCUCUGUAUUUGCAAGCACAAAGUGAUCAAUAGCUUCAGAUUGCUAAUGAAUUUUGGGAUAUGUGGAAUUAUCCAAACUGCAUUGGAGCUAUAGAUGGGAAACGUGUCACUAUCCAGGCACCCAUCAACUCUGGAUCAGAGUAUUUUAAUUAUAAAAGGGGGUUCAGCAUUGUGCUUCUUGCCAUGUGUGAUGCAAGAUGUUGCUUCACACUUGUUGACAUCAGCAGCAGUGGUCACUGGAGUGACGGGAGCAUUUUAUCAGUCUGAGUUGGGCAAGGCGCUGGAACAGAAUAGGCUAGCUGUCCCAUUGCCAAGAGCAUUGCCAAAUGGAGAUGAAGCCUUACCUCAUGCGACCCUACCCUGGAAAGCAUCUGCCAAUCUGCCAGUGUUUAUAACUACAGGCACUCGCGUGCCCAAUGUGUAAUUGAAAAUGCCUUUGGUAUUUUGGUGAGCAGAUGGGCAGUGUUCAGCAGGCCAAUGAGGAUGAAACCCAAAAAAGCCAUUUCUGUUGUUCAGGCAGCAGUUUGCCUUCAUGCUUAAAGGCGAUGGGGAUGGAACAAGCAGCGUUGAAGUGGAGGGUACACUUGCUGAUGUGGACAGAUGUCUUGGGAGGGGGGUGUUUUCAUAAGGGGCCACUUUAUCUAACUGGUCUGGUCCCAGCAGCUCUCUGUACGGCUGUUGCAACAGCCUCCAUGUCUGUCUCCAUUUCAACUGCUGACCCUUAACACAUCAGUUUUAGUACAAACAAAUACAGUUUUCUGUCUUAUUUUAAGUAACACUUUACUACCACUUAGUUGUAGGGUUGUAAGAUUUUUUAUAGUUGAAUCUUGGUGUAAACUCUUGAGCAUUAUUUCAUAGAAUUCAUCUCCUUGAUGAAUUCAUCUCCUUGAACACACAAGAGAAGCAUGUUGAUAGUCAAUAGCAAUUUCCAAAAAACUGAGACAGCUAUCAGAGAAAUAAAUAAAUAAAUAAAUAAAUAAAUAAAUAAAUAGUGACUUCUCACUAAUGAAACGUAAUAUUAUGUAAGCAAUAAGACCUGACAGGGUGCUUGAUAUUGGGCAAUACCGGACCGCCCUAGGGUGUAAUGAGGCCCGAUGCCACAAGUCUGGUAUUUCCCAAUAAUCCCCACCCUGAGGGUCUUACUGCGCUUAGAAAAUUGGCAACUUAUGUAGAAAAAAUCCAUAUCAUAUCAGCAUAUCUAUACAAGGAAAGAAGAUACACAGUACAGAGAUUUAUACUUCAGACUCUUGACAAAAAAAAAGAUUGUUUUACUCUUUUUUGUUUACCCAUUUAAUCGUAAAAAAUCAAAUACAUCGUGCCAGUGACAUCAAGUGGACUAAAAUGCAGACUAGAAAAUGCAGCAUAUGUGUACUAACUUAAUCCUGAUUGUAGCGUACCAAACAGAUGAUUCCGGUAAUUGGUGUACCUGAUCGGACGAGAAAACCGUGGUAUGUAAACAAUUAUGCCAAGCAAAUUCAGAAAUGACUGUGAAUGAAGUUACUGAUGGUAGUAAAAAGCAAACAUCCACAAUAAACAGAACUCUCCAGAUGGCAACCAACAUUUAUUUAGCCCUUACAUCCAUGUGAAUACGUAUAACACGAUUCUAAAAUGAAGUAUUUUUUGUUUAAAAUUCAAUAUUAAUUCAGAGAAUGCAUAAGUGUAAAUAAAUGGGGAAGCAUAAAUGCUUGGGACAUGCAAAAGUACUAAAUUAGUCUUAUCCUUCACAGUUCAAAAUUAAUCCACUUGAACAGGAUCGUCACGAAUCUGAUUUUAUACCCUGCAAUCGGGAUUUUUUUUAGUCUGAUUUAGGAGAUAAUCUAUGAUGUACACUGCAAACGGGAUUAGAACUGUACUAAUUUUAGUCAACGUGGACUAAACCGGUUUAACCCACUAGUUGGACACAUCAAGUGGACUAACUUUGGUAGGCUGCAAUUGACACUAUAUGUCCACAUCACCUGUUUAACUUAGUAUUGUGAAAACAAUAACGUAACUGAAUUUUAAAACUAAAAUAAAACUGAGCUGUCGUACUCACAGGCUCCACGAUCUGCUAAGGGGUUUUCUGCAGGUAUGUUGUUAACAUAAAAAAAUACUGUAUUAAAUGUUUUACAACUUGUAGUAUUCCCGGUGGGUUUUUACACGACUAAGAAUGGUUCGGUUUAUAUCUAGGUAUUAGUCCAAUUCUUUAUAUUAAAACACCAUCUUCCUUAUGUGUAGGUCUUAUACACCACGCAACUGUAACUUCCUGUGUGUUUCAAAUUGCAUUCUAGGAAUUGUAGUUUUCCAAGAGCUCUUUGUUUGAGUUAAAUGGAGAACAACUUCGGGAUAAACUACAAUGUCCAGCAUUGUAAUCUAAUUUUGCAAUAAACGAUUUUAUUGUUGUUUAUUUUAAUACAGAAAUUAACGUCGUUCUUUUAAGUAUUGUGUGACGGCGGUACCACCCACUUCUCCUAGCAGGGACUUUCCAGGAUCUCUGGCCUGGGGAUUUUCCCCACAGCUGCCAGGCAGGGACUUUCCAGGA